CCAAACCAGUGUUGUUACGGCAAUACUGGGGUUGUAGGACCACGACAUUAGAAGCAUGAUGAAUUAGAAUUGUUUGGAAAGACAAGCCAUAGACGGUGAUAGCCCGGUAUAAGUAAAGAAUGUGGAUAUAGUGGUAUCCUGAGUAGUGCGGGACACGAGUAAUCCUGUAUGAAACAGUCGGGACCAUCCGAUAAGGCUAAAUACUCCUGAGAGACCGAUAGUGAACUAGUACCG
rnacentral:rRNA from 1 species